GAAAGCCCCGCCAGAGUGAUGCCUAACCAGCAACUCUGUAGCUAGUCCUUGGAAUCUUCCAGGCAACUGGGGGCUUUAAGCGUAGGACGGCAAAAUAGCGGGCCGAAAGCGAAAGCUGAAGUGAUGAGCCUCGUAAUCCUCGUAAUAUCAGUUGAGUAUGGCCGAUGUGGUUACACGCACAGAAGGUAAUACCAGUAUAGGCGUUAUGGUGAGUCUUUACUGACACUUCGGGGUCUAAGAGCU
rfam:Peptococcaceae bacterium BRH_c8a BRHa_1003047, whole genome shotgun sequence.